UUGCUUUCGCCAUCGUCCUCUCUCUUCCCUCUGCUCCCUGCGAUCGAUCUCCCUUUUUUUUUUUUCUUUUCUUUUUCCCUCUCUUUUUUUCGAGGGUUUUCUUCCAUUUUCUUCUUUCCCCCCCUUUCUCCUCCUCCUCCUGCUCCAUCUCCUUGUUCCUUUUCUUUUCGAAUUUUCCUCUUCCUCUUCCUUUUUUCUUUUUUUCCCCUUCCUCCACCUCGUUUUUCGUUCGAUCUUCCUCUUCCUCUUCGCAUCUCCUGCGAACCCUAGGGGCUCGAAUUUUCAUUUUUAUUUUUGCUCGUGGGUCUUUUUUUUUUUUUUGGGGAUAAGAAGAUCAUCGGGGGGAUUCGGAGAGGAUGCAGCAGCAGAGGCUUCUCAAGCAGCACGCGAUGAUGCAGCAGUCGCUCUACCAUCACGGCCUCCUGGGUGCUCCGCAGGUAUUUUCUUGAUUUUCUUGAUUUUUGGGUGCUGGUGGGUUUCGUUUUGCUUUGAUUUUCUUGAUUUUUCGGUGCGGGGAGCUGGGCCCGAUGGGGCUGCGGCUGCGGCGAUGGCGCGGCAUUUUUGGGUUUUGCUUUGACGAUGAAUUCUUUGUGGAAUGAGUCUGGGAGUAGUAAUGCGCGGGGCGGGUGUGGUGAUUUGGGUUGUCGUUCUCUUUCGUCGGGUUGUUGAUCAAUUCGAGUUCUUGCUGCGCGAGAAGCUUCUGUAUAGUAGCCUGUUUUUGGUUGGAUGAUCGAAUUGCUUGUGGUGUCGGCCAGGAAAGACUAAUUCCUGUGAUGGGUG
rnacentral:lncRNA from 1 species